rnacentral:lncRNA from 1 species
UUUUCUCUUACAGACUGAAAAUGAUGCAGUUGACCAAGACCUUCAAAAUUGAUGUGUGUUUACUUUAUAUCGGUAUGCCUUUACAUGUGUAGAAUUAACAGUUUUGAUUUGAUUAAGCAUUGUCUAUCUCUUCAUGAUAGCCAUAUGAUAGUGGUAGUUUAUUGUUUCCCAUUUCUUGAAGAGCUUGACAUCAUAUUUUCAUUGGAUUCUCAAGCAUCUGGUUUUGGUUUAACAAAGCUAUGUUCCAUGGGAUUAUUAAA